AAGUGACUCCUAGGUCGUCUCUCAAGGACCAAACUAUGGUUUGUGAAUCAGGUCUAACAGAAAGUGGGGGGUUUUGGGUAAAAGUUUAAAACAUAUAAUGUAAACAUAAACCUUUUUCUAUUGCUAACCGUGACCUAAGUACACCUCUUCCAAAAUAAAAUUAAUCACCAUCAUAAUCCAGCAAAAAAAUAGUAAUGUCUCAUUCUCUAAAUUCAAGCAAGCAAAAACGGAGUGCAUUUGAAGUGAUAGUUGCCCCAACCUCUUCACGCUGAACCUUUUUUCAUUAAAAAAUAAAAAUAAAAAUUCAAAGAUAAAAAAAAAAAAAACUAAGCAUGAGGCUGGACCGUGCCUCCCUCUGCCAGGACUUGAAUAUCCUUGCACACCAACUCCUAAUGAAUUCUUCAUUCACACUAAAAUUUAGGUGCAACUCUCUUCAUUGCAAAGUGUGACAAGACUACUCCCUAUCACCGUACUACAUUUCUUUCUAUCAAAAUUAAUAAGCUUUUUCUCUUUUCAUUCCCAAGGUCAACAAAAUAAAAGCAAAAUAAAUUACUCCAUUCUAAAAAAAAUUGAUUGCAAUGCAAAUGAAAAUAAACGUGAGAAUGUGCCCUUCAUGCUGCAUCAACGUUUCAGUUUCCGAAAAAAAAAUGAGAAAAUGAAAUAUGAACCAUGGCUGUAAUGUGAUACCAAACAAUGCAUUGCUGACUCUUCUUGCUUCAAUUAAAAGGUGCGUGCAAACCUAAAAUGAAACAACAAAGGAUGCUUCUCCAGAACAUGCAAAGUAAAAGAAAAAAAAAAGAAAAAAAAGAAAAGGGUGUGUGGCGCUGGAUGGAUUCCUUUAUCCCGUUCCACCACAAGAAAACAAUAUAAAUCUUCACUCAAAAAUGCACAAAAGAACCAAAAUNAAGGGCCAAACUAUGAUUCUUCCAUGCCACAAAAUAUAGCCAGCGUACAAGUGCGUUUUCGGCAAGCAAAGAAAAGGUUCCAGCUAAAAAAAAAAAACUUCUUUCAUUCAACCACCAUCUAAAAACAUAAACAUUGUUUUCCACAAAAACUUCUUCCAACCACUUUCAAAGCCAAGCGUGACAGCCCUCUGCCAACCUACCGAGAGUGAAUCCCAAAAAUAAUGACGG
rnacentral:lncRNA from 1 species